rnacentral:rRNA from 1 species
GACGAACGCUGGCGGUGUGCUUAUCACAUGCAAGUCGAACGAUUACACGCCUUCCUUUUUGGUGUGUGUGGAUUAGUGGCUAACGGGUUAGUAACACGUUAGUAACUUGCCCCCUUCUUCUGGAUAACCGCAUGAAAGUGCGGCUAAUACGGGAUAUUCUUGGUCUGUCCCUUGACUGGUCUGCGAAAGCUACUGUUUCUGUGGGGGUUGGCCUCGCGGCCUAUCAGCUUGUUGGUGGUGUGUUGGCCUACCAAGGCGUUGACGGGUAUCCGGCCUGAGUGGAUGGACCGUCACACUGAGACUGAGAGCAGGGCCAGGCUACUACGGGAGGCAGAAGUAGCGAAUAUUGAACGAUGGGAGAAAGCAUGAAGCAGCGGCGCCGCGGGACUGAAGGAGACCUGCGGGUUGUGAACCUCUUUCGCCAAUGAAGCAGGUCUGCCUCGUUUGUGGGUGGGUUGACGGUAGCUGGAGAAGAAGCGACGGCUAACUACGUG